rnacentral:rRNA from 1 species
UACGUAGGGACCAAGCGUUGUUCGGAUUUACUGGGCGUAAAGGGCGCGUAGGCGGCUUGACAAGUCACUUGUGAAAUCUCCGGGCUUAACUCGGAACGGCCAAGUGAAACUGUCAUGCUAGAGUGCAGAAGGGGCAAUCGGAAUUCUUGGUGUAGCGGUGAAAUGCGUAGAUAUCGAGAGGAACACCUGCGGCGAAGGCGGGUUGCUGGGCUGACACUGACGCUGACAGCGCGAAAGCUAGGGGAGCAAACAGG